CGGAGGGAUCAUUACUGAGUUUACGCUCUAUAACCCUUUGUGAACAUACCUAUAACUGUUGCUUCGGCGGGUAGGGUCUCCGUGACCCUCCCGGCCUCCCGCCCCCGGGCGGGUCGGCGCCCGCCGGAGGAUAACCAAACUCUGAUUUAACGACGUUUCUUCUGAGUGGUACAAGCAAAUAAUCAAAACUUUUAACAACGGAUCUCUUGGUUCUGGCAUCGAUGAAGAACGCAGCGAAAUGCGAUAAGUAAUGUGAAUUGCAGAAUUCAGUGAAUCAUCGAAUCUUUGAACGCACAUUGCGCCCGCCAGCAUUCUGGCGGGCAUGCCUGUUCGAGCGUCAUUUCAACCCUCAAGCUCUGCUUGGUGUUGGGGCCCUACAGCUGAUGUAGGCCCUCAAAGGUAGUGGCGGACCCUCCCGGAGCCUCCUUUGCGUAGUAACUUUACGUCUCGCACUGGGAUCCGGAGGGACUCUUGCCGUAAAACCCCCAAUUUUCCAAAGGUUGACCUCGGAUCAGGUAGGAAUACCCGCUGAACUUAAGCAUAUCAAUAAGCGGAGGAAAAGAAACCAACAGGGAUUGCCUCAGUAACGGCG
rnacentral:rRNA from 1 species